CGGGGUGCUGCAGCAGUGGGGAAUAUUGGACAAUGGGGGAAACCCUGAUCCAGCAAUGCCGCGUGUGUGAAGAAGGCCUGCGGGUUGUAAAGCACUUUCGGUUGGGAGGACUGCUUCUAGCACUAAUAUUGUUGGAAGUUGACGUUACCUUCAGAAGAAGCACCGGCUAACUCCGUGCCAGCAGCCGCGGUAAUACGGAGGGUGCAAGCGUUAAUCGGAAUUGCUGGGCGUAAAGCGCGCGUAGGCGGCUAGAUCAGUCGGGUGUGAAAGCCCCGGGCUUAACCUGGGAACUGCAUCCGAUACUGUCUAGCUUGAGUACAGGAGAGGAGGGUGGAAUUCCACAUGUAGCGGUGAAAUGCGUAGAUAUGUGGAGGAACACCAAUGGCGAAGGCAGCUCUCUGGCCUGAUACUGACGCUGAGGUGCGAAAGCGUGGGGAGCAAACAGGGUUAGAUACCCUAGUAGUC
rnacentral:rRNA from 1 species